ensembl:rRNA 5S_rRNA 5S ribosomal RNA
GUCUGCGGCCAUGCCACCCUGAAUGGGCCCUAUCUUGUCUGAUCUCGGGAGCUAAGCAGGGUCUGGCGUGGUCAGUAUUUGGAUGUGAGACCACCUAGGAAUACCAGAUGCUGUAGGUA